rnacentral:rRNA from 1 species
CUUUCGGGGGUGGAUUAGUGGCGAACGGGUGAGUAACACGUGAGUAACCUGCCCUUCACUUCUGGAUAACUCUCGGAAACGGGGGCUAAUACAGGAUAUGACUCAAGCCUGCAUGGGUUUGGGUGGAAAGAUUUUUUGGUGGGGGAUGGGCUCGCGGCCUAUCAGCUUGAUGGUGGGGCGAUGGCCUACCAUGGCGACGACGGGUAGCCGGCCUGAGAGGGCGAUCGGCCACACUGGGACUGAGACACGGCCCAGACUCCUGCGGGAGGCAGCAGUGGGGAAUAUUGCACAAUGGGCGAAAGCCUGAUGCAGCGACGCCGCGUGAGGGAUGAAGGCCUUCGGGUUGUAAACCUCUUUCGUCAGGGAAGAAGCCUUUCGGGGUGACGGUACCUGGAGAAGAAGCACCGGCUAACUACGUGCCAGCAGCCGCGGUAAUACGUAGGGUGCGAGCGUUGUCCGGAAUUAUUGGGCGUAAAGAGCUUGUAGGCGGUUUGUCGCGUCUGCCGUGAAAAUCCAAGGCUUAACUUUGGACGUGCGGUGGGUACGGGCAGGCUAGAGUGUGGUAGGGGAGACUGGAAUUCCUGGUGUAGCGGUGAAAUGCGCAGAUAUCAGGAGGAACACCGAUGGCGAAGGCAGGUCUCUGGGCCAUAACUGACGCUGAGAAGCGAAAGCAUGGGGAGCGAACAGGAUUAGAUACCCUGGUAGUCCAUGCCGUAAACGUUGGGCGCUAGGUGUGGGGCUCAUUCCACGAGUUCUGUGCCGCAGCUAACGCAUUAAGCGCCCCGCCUGGNGAGUACGGCCGCAAGGCUAAAACUCAAAGGAAUUGACGGGGGCC